CUACGGGAUGCACCAGUGAGGAAUUUUGCGCAAUGGGGGCAACCCUGACGCAGCAACGCCGCGUGAGUGAAGAAGGCCCUUGGGUCGUAAAGCUCUGUCAAUGGGGAAGAAGUUAUUAUGUGUUAAUAGCACAUUUUAUUGACGGUACCCAUGAAGGAAGCACCGGCUAACUCCGUGCCAGCAGCCGCGGUAAUACGGGGGGUGCAAGCGUUAUUCGGAAUUAUUGGGCGUAAGGGGCACGCAGGCGGUCCUGUCAGUCAGAUGUGAAAGCCCGGGGCUCAACCCCGGACGUGCAUUUGAACAGCAGGACUUGAGUACGGGAGAGGAAAGGGGAAUUCCUGGUGUAGAGGUGAAAUUCGUAGAUAUCAGGAGGAACACCGGUGGCGAAGGCGCCUUUCUGGACCGAUACUGACGCUGAGGUGCGAAGGCGUGGGUAGCGAACGGGAUUAGAUACCCCCGUAGUC
rnacentral:rRNA from 1 species